GAGGGUAGAGCUCAGUGGUAGGGUGCAUGCCUAGCAUGCAUAAGGUCCUGAGUUCAAUCCCUAGUACCUCCA
rnacentral:tRNA from 1 species